UACGGAGGGUGCAAGCGUUAAUCGGAAUUACUGGGCUUAAAGGGUGCGUAGGCGGUGCUUUAAGUCUGUCGUGAAAUCCCCGGGCUCAACCUGGGAAUGGCGAUGGAUACUGGCGAGCUAGAGUGUGUCAGAGGAUGGUGGAAUUCCCGGUGUAGCGGUGAAAUGCGUAGAGAUCGGGAGGAACAUCAGUGGCGAAGGCGGCCAUCUGGGACAACACUGACGCUGAAGCACGAAAGCGUGGGGAGCAAACAGG
rnacentral:rRNA from 1 species